rnacentral:rRNA from 1 species
GACGAACGCUGGCGGCGUGCCUAACACAUGCAAGUCGAACGGUGAACCUCUUCGGAGGGGCUCAGUGGCGAGUGGGUGAGUAACACCUGCGCAACGUGUCCCCGUCUCUGCCAUAACUGCAUGAAAUUGGGGCUAAUACCGUAUGUUCCCCGCUUCCCUCGCGGGUGGUGGUGCCAACGGUUUCCGGCUGGGGAUGGGCGCGGAGCCCAUCCGCUGGUUGGUGGGGUAGUGUGCUACCAAGGCGACGACGGGUAGCCGGCCUGAGAGGGGGGCCGGCCACACUAGGACUGAGACACGGCACAGACUCCAACGGGAGGCAGCGGUGGAGAAGAUUGCGCAGUGGGCGGGAGCAUGGCGUAGCGCAGCCGCGUGGGGGAAGACGUCCAUCGGGUUGUGAACCACUGUCAGCAGGGACGAGGCGAUAGUGACGGUACCGGCAGAAGAAGCACCGGCUAACUACGUG